GACGAGCGCUGGCGGCGUGCUUAACACAUGCAAGUCGAACGGAAAGGCCCUGCUUGCCGGGUACUCGAGUGGCGAACGGGUGAGUAACACGUGGGUGAUCUGCCCUGCACUUCGGGAUAAGCCUGGGAAACUGGGUCUAAUACCGGAUAGGAGCCAUUUUUAGUGUGAUGGUUGGAAAGUUUUUUCGGUGUAGGAUGAGCUCGCGGCCUAUCAGCUUGUUGGUGGGGUAAUGGCCUACCAAGGCGGCGACGGGUAGCCGGCCUGAGAGGGUGGACGGCCACAUUGGGACUGAGAUACGGCCCAGACUCCUACGGGAGGCAGCAGUGGGGAAUAUUGCACAAUGGGCGCAAGCCUGAUGCAGCGACGCCGCGUGGGGGAUGACGGCCUUCGGGUUGUAAACGCCUUUCGCUAGGGACGAAGCUUUUUGUGACGGUACCUAGAUAAGAAGCACCGGCUAACUACGUG
rnacentral:rRNA from 1 species